AAACUCCUAACCUGGUAACUCUUGGAGCAAAGAGGCCAGUAUCUAGUCCUUGGGCAUUGUAUCGUGAGGUACAGUGUUAAGCGUAGGAAGGAAAGACUUAGAGCCCUAAAGCGAAAGCCUGAAGCAAUCUAGCGUCGUUAGUUCCAACAAAGUGGUGGGUGAUGCUCUCAUAUAAGCCGCAACCAACAUAGGUUGAAUCGUUAUGCCAGAUUCAAUCGGACACCACCGGCGUUGUAAUGCA
rfam:Eubacterium biforme DSM 3989 Scfld112 genomic scaffold, whole genome shotgun sequence.